rnacentral:lncRNA from 1 species
UAUAAAAUUAGUCUUAUCAAUAAUUUUUUUUUUAAAUAUGAAUUUUUGUUGAAUUUAAUGCCAAGAAAGAAAGAUUGCGAUGUCUUCGGUGGAUUCUCGUCGACGCGACGGGCAAUCGAUUUCCACUCGUGACACGAGUGCACUUCCAUCGAAGAGAGUUCGAGUUCACCGUGGGAUAAAAGAAUGAAAAUUGUCUGAGUGAUGACCUGUACAGUUACUUGCUUAGACGGCUUUCGUGGUACAAAAGUGUUGGAAGACAAAUUCGAGGGAAAUGCAUAAACGUGACUUCACGUUUCUAUACAUUUAUAUACAGUAAUUUUAUCAUUUCUAAUAUAUAUAUAAUUUAUAUUAUUACAAAUCGUAAUUGAUAGUCGUGGAAACUAUGAAAUAUCCUUUUCGUAAAAUUUAAUCCUAUAUACAUAUUUCGAACUGAGAAAUAUUUGAAUCGAAAUUAUUAAAAAAAAAAAAAAAUCGUAAACAAGUUUCUCUUUCGCAAAGUUUAAUUCUUUCAUAAUCCCGCGUCUAUGACACGAUUCUCGCGUCAAAUUCUCGCCCGAGUAAUCUCGAAUAUAUCUUCUUCGAGACUACUGCUCGUGAAAUUCCAGACCCACUUCAAGCCUAUACAUUUGCAUGCCGCGAGCUAAACGCAUUAAUGAAUGCUUGGAGGUUCGCGCGAGUCGCCACUCGACGCUCAGCCUCUCUCGAAAGUCGACAGUGGGAUACGCGCGUGCAUCGAGAUACCGUGGCUCGACGAGUGAGCCAAGCUGCUUGACAAUUUAAGCUGCUUACCAUGAUGCGCACCACCUAGCGCGAAGAGCAACCGCCCUCUGGAUUAACACGUUAACUACCUGUUCCGCCCAGCGAAGUCGCCGUUUCCCGUCGAACAGUCUUCAUUGACGUCAACCGGUAAAUCUCCCUCGACAACCUCGCAUUUUCAGCCUCGACGGUUGAAUUGGAUCUUCGUUGCGACGGAUUAAUUACUCGUUUCGUGGUUGUCCGUAUCGUGGUUUUCAGAGUAAAUAUGCUAGGUGAAGAGUGUAUUUUGUAAUGAAGCGUUUUACCGCUUGAAAAUGGUUGGAUGGGGAGCCACUUGAUGCAUGAUGGAUUUGUUUGCUCGGUGAAGAUGAAGGAUAUCGAACUUUAUCGUUCCAGUUAUUUGUUUAUUUUUUUUUUCAUCGAUAAUUAGAAUUUAACGAUAAAAUUACUUGUAAUUCUAUUACAUGUUAUCAUUAUCCAUGGUUUUAUUCGUGGAAUAUUUGUACAAAGCGAAAAAUAAUCUCGAUUUGAUAAAUGAAAAUUUAAAAACAUUCUCCUAUUUGAUAUUCAAAACAAUUUCCUUUCACGUAUCACAUUAGAAUUCCAACACGUACCACAUUCACCAUAUCGUUUCCUUUAUCGAUCGUACAAUUCUACCUGGAGCAACCGUUGGUUCUGCUUUGCGACCAAAGUGACGCGUUAUUAGGUUAUGUUAAUGACUUCCUGUUUCGCGUUGGUCGCCACCUGCGAGACUGCUUAAUCGCAUAACUGGUCGCAGAGAGGGCGUAAUACUGAGAAUAAUUGGCCGUGGAUCGCGAGUUAAGAGGUAACAAACGAUCGGUUGGGAUUAACGAGAGACGAAUAAGCUGGCAACGGCAAUUGAAUGCGCACACUCGACCAGCGGUCCGUGCCUAUAGGCGAUGAUAAAUCUGAGAAGCAUCGAGCCAACCGCUAUCCCCCUUCCCUCCUUUUCCCUCUUUAUCUUUUUUUUCUUUUUACUCGUAUCAGUUAUGCGCGGAUAACUGAUUAAUCGUCACGUUGAUACCGCAUUCUUCCGGAAGUUGGAGCCACUGGGCCCUUGCUGCUUAAUAAACGGGUCGCGCGUAAGAGGUUAAGUUGGACGGUUGGCAAGCGUUGGCAAGCGGCACGAUUGUGAGAUUUAUUAUUGUGAAGUUUUGAAGAUUUGUGCAUACAAUUUGAGUGAUAUAUUGAAUAUUGAAAAGACGCAGCGGUUUUAAUUUAAAUUUCACUCGUAUCGAUUACGUAGAAAUAACAAGUUGUACGAUAAAUCGCUAAAUUUUUGUCUGUUUAAUAAACUCGUGUAACAUGUUAAAUUGUUAUAUAUAUCAAGAGUUGACAAUUAACGCGAUAAAUAAUUGAUUUGAUUAUAGUAUACAUGGUACAAUGAAUAAUUUAUAAAGUUAAUUGUUGGGAUUUGAAAAUUGAUGCAUACAUGUGUUCAAUAUAGUAUUGAAACAUAGGUUAGGAAGAUAAAAAUGUAGAGAAUUUUUACGAUCGUUUUCAAAUAAGGUUAAAGUUAAUCAGUGAUCGAAAAAGCAAUUAACUAACGAUGAAGAGAUAUAAAUAUCUUAAUGUGAGAAAGAAUGGUAUCGUUGGUGCAUCGAAUGUCAAUGAACUUUCGCAUACAGUAUAUUCAAAAACUUUGAGAGAUUCAUGGUUUUUACAGUCUAACGUGAAGAAUGUGUUUUGUGUGAAACGUUGGACAGAUGAAACUUUAGAUAGAUUAAACUUUGUAAAAAAUUCAGACAAUCCAAUAACAAAAUUCAAACGUUCAGAUAUUUCUUUUAAUUUUAAAAGGAUAAUUGUCGAAAUAUUUCUUUCAAUUUCGGACGUUAUCUUUGUCCAGAAUCUUGCACGUUCAACACAUCUUCAACAACGCGUCGUAUACGAGAUUCACUCGUGUCUUUCGAGGUCUUCAUAUCCAAACGAGACUCGCACGAUCUUGAUAUUCCAGGACAGAUAAGAGCCGAGAAGGUCUCGUUCGUUUCGCCGAGAGUAAUUAGCCGAAGUUGUGUACGCCUCUCGUCGGAGGAGUGGCGCUAGUCAUUUGUUGCAACCUGGGAACACUGGUGAGACGUAUCGCGAUUCGCGAGUUGAAAUAUCGCGCCGAAAACAGCGUUAAUUUCAAGGCUCGUGGUGAGACAUCUUCGAAAAAGGGACGGCCUGAAAAAAAAAAAAGAACGCGCGACUGGUGAAAUUAUCCUCUUAUUGCGUCGCAUCUACGAAACGCGAAACUGUAUGGCGUUGAUUUCGUGCUUGUGUCUCUAUCGUGUGUCCUCGUGUAAAUAUCGAGAUUGGCGUCGUGGACACACCGGUUACCACUCGAGGACGACGGGUUCUCCAGCGGACGACAGUCGUCUCGAAGAAGAAGAAGAAUUCGUUGCAAGUACGUGUGAUAAUUCAAAGUUUGGAUAAUACGCAUCGUCAAUUGUAUUAUCACGAAUGAUAGAAAAACGUCUCGGGAUCUGUAACACACGAUCGAUAUAGAUCGAAACACCGUUGGCCGCGUAGACGAUAAAUCUCCCCGUGCUUCUGGUUACCUUGUGGUGUAACUCGCACAACAUAUCGGUACACGCGUAUAAUCUUCGAUUGGCACACGGAACAGAGCAAAAAAG